rnacentral:rRNA from 1 species
UACGUAGGGUGCAAGCGUUGUCCGGAAUUAUUGGGCGUAAAGAGCUCGUAGGCGGUCUGUCGCGUCGGCUGUGAAAACUCGGGGCUCAACUCCGAGCUUGCAGUCGAUACGGGCAGGCUAGAGUUCGGCAGGGGAGACUGGAAUUCCUGGUGUAGCGGUGAAAUGCGCAGAUAUCAGGAGGAACACCGGUGGCGAAGGCGGGUCUCUGGGCCGAUACUGACGCUGAGGAGCGAGAGCGUGGGGAGCGAACAGG